rnacentral:sRNA from 1 species
CGGAGGAAAAGAAACCAACAGGGAUUGCCCUAGUAACGGCGAGUGAAGCGGCAACAGCUCAAAUUUGAAAUCUGGCUCUCGGGCCCGAGUUGUAAUUUGUAGAGGAUGUUUCUGGCGACGUGUCUUCCGAGUUCCCUGGAACGGGACGCCAUAGAGGGUGAGAGCCCCGUCCGGUCGUACGCCUAGCCUCUGUGAAACUCCUUCGACGAGUCGAGUAGUUUGGGAAUGCUGCUCAAAAUGGGAGGUAUACGUCUUCUAAAGCUAAAUACCGGCCAGAGACCGAUAGCGCACAAGUAGAGUGAUCGAAAGAUGAAAAGCACUUUGAAAAGAGGGUUAAAUAGUACGUGAAAUUGCUGAAAGGGAAGCGCUCAUGACCAGACUUGGGCUCGGCGAAUCAUCCGGCGUUCUCGCCGGUGCACUUUACCGGCCCAGGCCAGCAUCAGCUCGCCCCGGGGGAUAAAGGCUUCGGGAAUGUAGCUCCCUCGUGGAGUGUUAUAGACCGUUGCGUAAAUACCCUGGGGUGGGCUGAAGGUACGCGUCUGCAAG